GGCAUCGAGCGAGCGCAGUCUACUGAGUUCAUGUCGGCGAGCGGCGGACGGGUGAGUAAAGUCUGGGAAUCUGGCCGAAGGAGGGGGGAUAACUGCUGGAAACGGCAGCUAAUACCGCAUGAAGUCGCGAGACCAAAGUGGGGGACCUUCUGGCCUCACGCCUUCGGAUGAGCCCAGAUGAGAUUAGCUGGUAGGUAAGGUAAAGGCUUACCUAGGCGACGAUCUCUAGCGGGUCUGAGAGGAUAGCCCGCCACACUGGAACUGAGACACGGUCCAGACUCCUACGGGAGGCAGCAGUGGGGAAUAUUGCACAAUGGGCGAAAGCCUGAUGCAGCCAUGCCACGUGUGUGAAGAAGGCCUUCGGGUUGUAAAGCACUUUCAGCGAGGAGGAAGCGAUAAAUGCCAAUACCAUUUAUUUUUGACGUUACUCGCAGAAGAAGCACCGGCUAACUCCGUGCCAGCAGCCGCGGUAAUACGGAGGGUGCGAGCGUUAAUCGGAAUAACUGGGCGUAAAGGGCAUGUAGGCGGCGAGUUAAGUCAGAUGUGAAAUCCCCGAGCUCAACUUGGGAAUGGCAUUUGAAACUGGGUCGCUAGAGUUUUCUAGAGGGGGGUAGAAUUCCAGGUGUAGCGGUGAAAUGCGUAGAUAUCUGGAGGAAUACCGGUGGCGAAGGCGGCCCCCUGG
rnacentral:rRNA from 1 species